rnacentral:lncRNA from 1 species
CCAGAGCACAUCUCACUCUCAACAGUCAUCCCUUGUCCUCUCUGAAGGGGUUUGUCCCCCUCAGUUACCGCCUUUAGAGAUCCCAGUAUUUCACCUCCAGUGGCCUUCAUCCCAGGACACAUCCUUUGGCUUCCCUGCAGGGAAUAGUGUCAAGAGGCCACUGGUGGUGCCUCCCAUCUUGGCUCCGUGUUGCCUUCCGAGCAUCCUGGGCUCCCCGAAGCAGAGCAGAACAGCCAGAAUCCAAAUACUGGCCCCAGUGAGGCCCCAUUCUAAGAUAGCAAAAUACGAUGGACAAAAAAGACCACCGCAAGAGAUGUGCCGAACAGUUCCUUCAAAUAGCGCAUUCCCCACGUCAUGUAAAAAGAUUCACCCUCCCCAGCCUCAGCUCAGACGAGGCUGAGUAAGUAAAUCAGGAUGAAGCCCAUCCAGGAAAGUGAGUUCAGCUGCCAGUGUUGGAGCCACUGCUUCUGUCUUGCCACCACAUGAGACCUGAGACCAAAGCCAACACAAGGAGGGCCAGGCUGAGGGACAGAGAGAAGCCAAGUUUUGAUUGUAUCAUUUGAAAUCCUGAAGCCUGGGGUAUCUAAAGCCAGACCUACUCAUGGAUCAGGCCUGGCUACAUCAUUUGUGGGGCCCAUUGUUCCAAAAGCAGGGGCAAAGUGCCAUUAAAUGUACUCAAAUAUGAAACUUUUUUUCUCUCUUCCAUGGUCUCUCUCUCUCUCGACUUCUCAUGGUAUGUUUUUAUUUGCUAUUGGAUGUCAUUCUAAGUCAAGAGAAAUUAAAUUAGAAAACUGUGAGUAUGAAUUUUGCUGUUCAUCUUUACAUUGUGAAAU